AGGUAUGUGCCCAGUCAUGCGGCAACUGUUGUGGUGGAAGAAACAACUGUGUGUGGAUCAUGACUUAGCCACAAAUCAACAUGACUGAAAGCUUGUGGAAUCAAGGGAUCUCAUCAAAAUCUAAGGAAAUAAAAGAAACUCAAGAUUUGUUUCACCUGCCUCAAUUUUGCCACAGAGUUUUAUGCGGACUCAAAAAUAGCCAUGCUAAUGCAUUCAACACUAAUGUUGUUUUCUAUCAAUAUUCCAUUUCCUAUUUCCAACAGGCAGAGCCAGAGUGAAUGACAACCAAAGAACUUGAAAGGUUGCUGUGUGGCCAGCAGCUGAAUUUGCAGCACAUGUGUAUUACCUUUGGAAAUGGAAGAAGCCAUUAGGAAGAAAAAGCCAUAAACUACAUUAAAGCAUGAAUGGCUCAUAAAAGCCAUUGCAGGGGGAAACCUGGAGAGAAGCCAUCAGCAAUGUGAAGGAACAGGAGGAAGGGAUUUGGGGUCUAACUGGUAAGUUAGUGUGAUUCAACGACUAGAGUUUGGGUAUAGGAAAUCAAAACUCAGCUUGCCAUUGAGCUGCUAUGAAGUCCCUGGGCAAAUCAAGACCUGUCAACCCUAAUCUUUCAUACACAGUCAUUGUGAGAAAAUAGAGAAUCCAGAACAUAAAAAAGCCCUGCUGGAUCAGAACAAAGGACUAUCUAGUCCAGAAUCCAAUUUCCAAUAGAUGUCUAUGAGAAGCCUGGCAACAGGACACGAGGUCCACGGUCCUAUUCCGCAGCUGUUCCCCAGUUACAGGUUUUUAGCAUAAUACUACUGACUCCUUGGAAAAAUGCUGGAUGAAAAUAUGACAAAUAACUGAAAUUUUAUCUACUAAUACCAUUCAGGUGCAGGGUUGCCUUGCAUGGUGUGUCAUGGA